UACGUAGGUGGCAAGCGUUAUCCGGAAUUAUUGGGCGUAAAGCGCGCGCAGGUGGUUUCUUAAGUCUGAUGUGAAAGCCCACGGCUCAACCGUGGAGGGUCAUUGGAAACUGGGAGACUUGAGUGCAGAAGAGGAAAGUGGAAUUCCAUGUGUAGCGGUGAAAUGCGUAGAGAUAUGGAGGAACACCAGUGGCGAAGGCGGCUCUCUGGGACGGUACUGACGCUGAGACGCGAAAGCGUGGGGAGCGAACAGG
rnacentral:rRNA from 1 species